rnacentral:rRNA from 1 species
GACGAACGCUGGCGGCGCGCCUAACACAUGCAAGUCGAGCGAUGAAAUUUUAACCGAUCUCUUCGGAGAGAAGAUAAAAUGGAUUAGCGGCGGACGGGUGAGUAACACGUGAGAAACCUGCCUUUCACAAGGGGAUAGCCUCGGGAAACCGGGAUUAAUACCCUAUGACACAUUUCCUUCGCAUGGAAGAAAUGUUAAAACUCCGGUGGUGAAAGAUGGUCUCGCGCCUGAUUAGCUAGUUGGUGGGGUAACGGCCCACCAAGGCCAUGAUCAGUAACCGGCCUGGGAGGGUGAACGGUCACAUUGGAACUGAGACACGGUCCAAACUCCUACGGGAGGCAGCAGUGGGGAAUAUUGCACAAUGGAGGAAACUCUGAUGCAGCGACGCCGCGUGAGCGAUGAAGGCUUUCGAGUCGUAAAGCUCUGUCCUAUGGGAAGAUAAUGACGGUACCAUAGGAGGAAGCCCCGGCUAACUACGUG